AACGAACGCUGGCGGCAGGCUUAACACAUGCAAGUCGAGCGCCCCGCAAGGGGAGCGGCAGACGGGUGAGUAACGCGUGGGAAUCUACCGUGCCCUACGGAAUAGCUCCGGGAAACUGGAAUUAAUACCGUAUACGCCCUUAGGGGGAAAGAUUUAUCGGGGUAUGAUGAGCCCGCGUUGGAUUAGCUAGUUGGUGGGGUAAAGGCCUACCAAGGCGACGAUCCAUAGCUGGUCUGAGAGGAUGAUCAGCCACAUUGGGACUGAGACACGGCCCAAACUCCUACGGGAGGCAGCAGUGGGGAAUAUUGGACAAUGGGCGCAAGCCUGAUCCAGCCAUGCCGCGUGAGUGAUGAAGGCCCUAGGGUUGUAAAGCUCUUUCACCGGUGAAGAUAAUGACGGUAACCGGAGAAGAAGCCCCGGCUAACUUCGUGCCAGCAGCCGCGGUAA
rnacentral:rRNA from 1 species